CCUACGGGAGGCAGCAGUGGGGAAUAUUGGACAAUGGGGGGAACCCUGAUCCAGCGACGCCGCGUGAGUGAAGAAGUAUUUCGGUAUGUAAAGCUCUAUCAGCAGGGGAGCAAGACAUGACGGUACCUGACUAAGAAGCCCCGGCUAACUACGUGCCAGCAGCCGCGGUAAUACGUAGGGGGCAAGUGUUAUCCGGAUUUACUGGGUGGAAAGGGAGCGUAGACGGCAGCACAAGUCUGGAGGGAAAUCGCGGGGCCUAAACCCGGGACUGCUGUGGAACCUGUGCGGCUGGAGUGCAGGAGGGGUAUGCGGAAUGCCUAGUGUAGCGGUGAAAUGCGUAGAUAUUAGGAGGAACACCGGUGGCGAAGGCGGCUUACUGGACUGUAACUGACGUUGAGGCUCGAAAGCGUGGGGAGCGAACAGGAUUAGAUACCCCUGUAGUC
rnacentral:rRNA from 1 species